rnacentral:rRNA from 1 species
ACAGGGUGACAGGUGGUGCAUGGUUGUCGUCAGCUCGUGUCGUGAGAUGUUGGGUUAAGUCCCGCAACGAGCGCAACCCUCGACCUUAGUUGCCAGCAUUCAGUUGGGCACUCUAAGGUGACUGCCGGCUAAAAGUCGGAGGAAGGUGGGGGAUGACGUCAAAUCAUCAUGCCCCUUACGACCUGGGCUACACACGUGCUACAAUGGGCGGUACAAAGGGUCGCGAACCCGCGAGGGGGAGCCAAUCCCAAAAAGCCGCUCUCAGUUCGGAUUGCAGGCUGCAACUCGCCUGCAUGAAGCCGGAAUCGCUAGUAAUCGCGGAUCAGCAUGCCGCGGUGAAUACGUUCCCGGGCCUU